GAGGCAGCAGUGAGGAAUAUUGGGCAAUGGGCGAAAGCCUGACCCAGCCACGCCGCGUGUGUGAUGAAGGCCUUCGGGUCGUAAAGCACUGUGGGGAGAGACGAAACAGCGCGUCAGGAAAUGGGUCGCCUUGACGGUACCUCCUUAGCAAGCACCGGCUAACUCUGUGCCAGCAGCCGCGGUAAUACAGAGGGUGCAAACGUUGCUCGGAUUUACUGGGCGUAAAGCGCGUGUAGGCGGACUCGCAAGUCGGUUGUGAAAUCCCUGGGCUCAACCUAGGAACUGCAUCCGAAACUGCUUGUCUUGAGUAAUGGAGAGGGUGGCGGAAUUCCCGGUGUAGAGGUGAAAUUCGUAGAUAUCGGGAGGAACAUCAGUGGCGAAGGCGGCCACCUGGACAUUUACUGACGCUGAGACGCGAAAGCGUGGGGAGCAAACAGGAUUAGAUACCCUGGUAGUCCACGCCGUAAACGAUGAGAACUAGGUGCAGCGGAUAUUGACCUCUGCUGUGCCGUAGCUAACGCGAUAAGU
rnacentral:rRNA from 1 species